rnacentral:tRNA from 2 species
ACUUAAAUAGUUUAAAAUUAGAAUUAUAAUUUGUGGAGUUAUAGGUGUAUAAUUACUUUAGGUU